UACGUAGGCAGCGAGCGUUGUUCGGAGUUACUGGGCGUAAAGGGUGUGUAGGCGGUUCUCUAAGUUUGGUGUGAAAUCUCCCGGCUCAACCGGGAGGGUGCGCCGAAAACUGGGGGACUAGAGUGCGGGAUGGGAGAGUAGAAUUCCUGGUGUAGCGGUGAAAUGCGUAGAUAUCAGGAGGAUACCGGUGGUGUAGACGGCUCUCUGGACCGCAACUGACGCUGAGACACGAAAGCGUGGGUAGCAAACAGG
rnacentral:rRNA from 1 species